ACUUGUAUUUACUCGUAUCUUUUCAAUCCUACUCGUAUCUUUUCAUUUGUAAUUUUUAGAAAUCCCCUUAAUUAGACGGAGCAUAUCAAAAUUGUAUUAAAAAAAUAAAUACUUCGAUAGUAUCAUGCCUUCGUUAGAAGCUCCAAAUAAUGGAGCGGAUUCGUCUACCCAAGGCGACGACCACUCAAAGCCAAUGAGUGGGCCAAUAAUUGGAAUAAUUUAUCCUCCUCCGGAGGUAAGAAAUAUUGUUGACAAAACGGCUAGUUUUGUUGCUAGAAAUGGGCCUGAAUUUGAAGCAAGAAUUCGCCAAAAUGAGUUGGGUAAUGCCAAAUUUAAUUUUUUAAGCGCAGGGGAUCCAUAUCAUGCCUACUAUAGACAUAAAGUAAAUGAAUUUCGGGAAGGAAAGGAUGCUACUGGGGGUCCGAGUGUUGUCACAGGAAUAAAACAAUUAUCUGUUACCAGCGCUGCGCAGCAAAAGCAACAGGAACUUUUGAAACAAGUUUCGGAACAGCAAUUUGUGCCAAGGGAUCCUCCUACCGAUUUUGAGUUCAUUGCAGAUCCCCCAUCUAUUUCAGCUUUAGAUUUGGACAUUGUUAAGCUAACAGCUCAGUUUGUAGCUCGUAAUGGUCGACAAUUUCUGACAAACUUGAUGAACCGCGAACAGCGUAAUUUCCAAUUUGACUUUUUACGACCUCAGCACUCUUUGUUCCAAUAUUUCACUAAGCUAUUAGAACAAUACACCAAAAUAUUAAUUCCGCCAAAAGAUCUCUUAAAUAAACUACGUUCAGAAUGCGCGGAUGGUCGAUCUAGUAUUAAUUUAGUUUUGGAUCAAGUAAAAUAUCGAGCAAAUUGGCAGAAACAUCAGGAAGCGCAGCGCCGUCGGGAAGAAGAGAAAGUUGAGAAAGAAAGAGUGGCUUACGCCCAAAUCGACUGGCAUGAUUUUGUGGUUGUCGAAACUGUAGACUACCAACCUUUCGAAACGGGUAACUUUCCACCACCAACUACACCUGAAGAAGUUGGGGCUCGUGUACUAAUGGAGGAGCGCUUGAUGGAAGAAGAUGGAGACAUUGAAAUGCAGAUUGAAUCAGAUGAAGAGGAUGGCCUAGAUGAAUCUUCUGUCGUUAAACUGUCGCAAAUGGAAAAUCGUACUGGCAUACAAAUGAAAGGUUUCUCCUUUAAUCACCAGCCGACAAAUGCCAAUAAGGAUAAUAACCAAGUCCAAGAUAUGGAUGAGGCCAGCAGUGAUGAAGAUACGCCUUCAAACUCUAAGACUCAACCUCCAGUUACACCACUACUGCCACCAACACAUGAUAAGGUAGUUGUUAAAAAAUACGAUCCGAAAACAAGUCAACAGAAGCAGCCAAAACAAGGUGUUGCCGAUGAAUAUCUAAUUUCUCCAAUAACAGGGGAAAAAAUACCAGCUUCAAAAGUUGCCGAACAUAUGCGAAUCGGUUUAUUGGAUCCACGUUGGGUUGAGCAGCGUGAUAAGCACACUGUUGAAAAAAUUAAUCAAGACACAGUAUACGCCGCUGGUACCGCCAUUGAAGCAAGUUUAAAACAGUUGGCAGAGCGUCGCACAGAUAUUUUCGGUGUGGGCGAUGAGGAGACAGUAAUUGGUAAAAAAUUGGGAGAAGAAGAAACUAAAAAAGACGAUCGGGUCACUUGGGAUGGUCAUACAUCAAGUGUGGAGGCAGCAACGCGGGCAGCUCGAGCUAAUAUAACUUUGGAGGACCAGAUUCAUCAAAUUCAUAAAGUAAAGGGACUAUUACCAGAUGAAGAAAAAGAAAAAAUCGGUCCGAAACCAGUGGGCAACAAAACUAUUUUGUCGGCGCCCCCUUUGUCACCUCAGACAGCUUCGAAGGGACAUGUUCAAGUUUCACAUCACUCGCUUUCUCAUCUUCAUCCACCACAACAACAAUCACAACAGCAAACGCACCCUCCACCAUCUUCCCAUAAUUUAUCCCCUACGGCAACACCAGUCAUGAUAAUGCCAAUAAGACCACCACCACCAAUGAUGCCACCACCAUUCCCAGUUGGUGGCUACAUGACUCCUUUACAGACGGCUGGACCACCCCAAAUGACACCAGGAUCGAAUGUGGUAGAACAAUCAAUAUUGUCUAUUCCUCCAAUACCAGUGGAUGAGGAACCACCAAAUAAGAAAAUGCGUUCGGAAGAUAAUCUGAUACCCGAAGAAGAAUUUAUAGCAAAACAUAAGAGUCCUAUUACUAUCCAAAUACAGAUUCCAAACGUAGUUGAUAAGUCAGAAUGGAAACUGAACGGACAAACUAUUGCCUUUUCAUUAUCUCUCUCAGAUACUGUUUCCAAUCUCAAAGCAAAGAUUCAAGAUGACACGGGAAUGCCACCUGCGAAACAAAAAAUUUCUUAUGAGAUUCGCAGCUAUGAACGCUUCACGGUUUGGAUUAUCCGUUUACAUGCAAUAUCUGCGCUAAAGCUUCGCGCCGGCAAAAUCCACUUAUUAACCACAUCAAAACUCAUAAAGAAUAGAGUACACAACACCAUCAUCAGCGGGCACAUAUCGAUCCCAAGCCGUAUAAAUAUGUCCAUGAAUACGAUGGAGCUCAGCCAGUGCCGCCUCUGCUGCCGCCAUCAUCCGUUGCGUUUUUGCCGCGUAUUUCAAGCAAUGAGACCUGAUGAGCGGUACGAGUCUGCGCGUAUACAAGUUAUCACGGGAAGCACAGUCAGGUUUUCCAUUACCUGAAAUUGUUGCGCGUGGCCUGACUCAGCAGGAUCGGCACAACAAGUAGCGCAGACAGUCGAAAGAAAGUAAGCAAGUUUAAAGUUACAUUCAAAAGUUGCCAGUGCCCUUAGUCAGCGCUUCUGUGUUCUCACGCUUGCUGUUACAAGACACCACAACUGCUAUUCAACGGCUGCGUCGGCAGCGACAGCGUUUUGAUAGCUUGAGAGUAGCUUAGUAAUAAUAACUUUUUGUGUUCAGUAAUUAGUAUUGUCUUUGGUCACUGGCGCAGACCUGGGUCGGUCAUAAUAAACUGUUAAAAUAUAAAAGGAUUUAUUUUAUGUAACAAAGGAACAAAUUUUCUAUCGUACAUAAGCAUUGCGUCAAUUGCUAGGCGACGUCGCAUUCAGCCGGUUCCUGUAGCUCAGCCGACAGCUGUCACAGGUGCGGGAAGGCCCAUCACACAAUGCUGCAUCGUCCAACAUCAUCGCCUCCGGAAAGCACUCGCCGUACUGACUCGCAUGCACAAGUUCGCCAUGGACGAUCGACUCUAGCCAGCCGUGUGAUUAAACUAGCCGCAAAGCAAGCUCACAGCGGCAAUACCCAAAGCCCAAACGAAGGGCUAGUGCAACUACAGUAAAUCACGAGAAGACGAAGUGACGUCAACUGUCAACUGAGAGCAGAAGGAGAAUAGCUAAUUAAAUAUUGCAGACCGGAAAUUGCAGCUACCAGAAAAAACGAAAAACCAUGAAAUUAAUCGCACAACAACAAAAUGCUAUCACAACGAAACUACGCUGUAGCAGUUUGUGGUAAAGACAUAUAUUCCUUAGACGACUGUGCAGGAACAGCUAUGAAAUUUUGCAGAAAAUCGAACAUCUCGACUUGCGCUCAACAAUUAAUAGCCAGCACCACAGCAAAUUGCACAACCACAUUUGGCGAACUAGAUCCUGUUCAAGAGGUUGAUAAUGGCAUGGUCGUUAUAAACGAUCGCACCGCCACAGUAAUAUCUAAUAAUGAAACUAUAUCGCUGAAAAGGGGUACUUACCUGGUGACGUUUUUAGACAAGGCUAGCGUGAAUGAAACGACCUUUGUCAAUCGAAAUGCCCUUCAGAUAAAAGUAGCAGAGAUCCCACUCAGAUAAACAUAACCGGACACGAUGACAUAAUGAGCCUACCUUACUUGCGACAUCGGGCACUAGAAAACCGCCAGCUGAUGGAGCAACUAAAUGAUGGUUAUAAGACAGGAUUGACAGCAACAUCACUAAUCAUACUGGCCAUCAUCGGCGUGCUGCUUCUCAUGAUUACUUUCCCUAGAAAGCAAAAUAUACAAGCUCCAAUAGUAAGAGUAGUAGAAAACAUCACGCAAGCGUCAACUAGAAGGUCCGAGGACGUCCCUCGCUUAGGAGGGGAAGAGUUAUCACGGGAAGCACAGUCAGGUUUGCCAUUACCUGAAAUUUUUGCGCGUGGCCUGACUCAGCAGGAUCGUCACAACAAAUAGCGCAGACAGUCGAAA